rnacentral:sRNA from 1 species
CUUUUCCAGUGGCGUGCCCCUGGAACGUUGUGCACCACCAUUUUGACUCUUUUAAUGUGCAUGCCCAGGAAGCUGCUUCUCCCUGGAGUCAGUAUUCAAAUCACACUUUACUGCAACAGGUGUGGACCAUCAGGAAACGGCCUCUCCCCUGGCGCCUGGCUCCCAAUUCACCACUUUUAGAGAGCUAUCCCCCAUCCUCAUCACUUUCCUAUCUGGCUGCUGCAGCAGAAACAUUUAUUUAAUAGGAAAUAGAACUACUCAUUCUGCAAGAAGAGUCUUUAAAUUGCAGAUGCCUGGGUACUUCGUACUGGAUUUCGAGGCUGGCAUCCUGCAGUAUUUUGUGAAUGAGCAAAGCAAACACCAGAAGCCUCGAGGAGUCCUGUCUUUAUCUGGAGCCAUAGUGUCCCUGAGCGAUGAAGCUCCCCACAUGCUGGUGGUGUACUCUGCUAAUGGAGAGAUGUUUAAACUGAGAGCUGCUGAUGCAAAAGAGAAACAAUUCUGGGUGACUCAGCUUCGAGCUUGUGCCAAAUACCACAUGGAAAUGAAUUCUAAG